GCGCCUGUAGCUCAGUUGGAUAGAGUGUCGCCCUCCGAAGGCGAAGGUCACAGGUUCGACUCCUGUCAGGCGCGCCA
rnacentral:tRNA from 1 species